rnacentral:tRNA from 1 species
AGCCCUGAGGUGUAUACAUAUAUGGUUGCAAACCAUAAGUAGCAGAUUAUCGUCUGCCGGGGCUU